GGUUAAGCGACUAAGCGUACACGGUGGAUGCCUAGGCAGUCAGAGGCGAUGAAGGGCGUGCUAAUCUGCGAAAAGCGUCGGUAAGCUGAUAUGAAGCGUUAUAACCGACGAUACCCGAAUGGGGAAACCCAGUGCAAUACGUUGCACUAUCGUUAGAUGAAUACAUAGUCUAACGAGGCGAACCGGGGGAACUGAAACAUCUAAGUACCCCGAGGAAAAGAAAUCAACCGAGAUUCCCCCAGUAGCGGCGAGCGAACGGGGAGGAGCCCAGAGUCUGAAUCAGUUUGUGUGUUAGUGGAAGCGUCUGGAAAGUCGCACGGUACAGGGUGAUAGUCCCGUACACCAAAAUGCACAGGCUGUGAACUCGAUGAGUAGGGCGGGACACGUGACAUCCUGUCUGAAUAUGGGGGGACCAUCCUCCAAGGCUAAAUACUCCUGACUGACCGAUAGUGAACCAGUACCGUGAGGGAAAGGCGAAAAGAACCCCGGCGAGGGGAGUGAAAUAGAACCUGAAACCGUGUACGUACAAGCAGUGGGAGCACCUUCGUGGUGUGACUGCGUACCUUUUGUAUAAUGGGUCAGCGACUUAUAUUUUGUAGCAAGGUUAACCGAAUAGGGGAGCCGUAGGGAAACCGAGUCUUAACUGGGCGUCUAGUUGCAAGGUAUAGACCCGAAACCCGGUGAUCUAGCCAUGGGCAGGUUGAAGGUUGGGUAACACUAACUGGAGGACCGAACCGACUAAUGUUGAAAAAUUAGCGGAUGACUUGUGGCUGGGGGUGAAAGGCCAAUCAAACCGGGAGAUAGCUGGUUCUCCCCGAAAGCUAUUUAGGUAGCGCCUCGUGAACUCAUCUUCGGGGGUAGAGCACUGUUUCGGCUAGGGGGCCAUCCCGGCUUACCAAACCGAUGCAAACUCCGAAUACCGAAGAAUGUUAUCACGGGAGACACACGGCGGGUGCUAACGUCCGUCGUGAAGAGGGAAACAACCCAGACCGCCAGCUAAGGUCCCAAAGUCAUGGUUAAGUGGGAAACGAUGUGGGAAGGCACAGACAGCCAGGAUGUUGGCUUAGAAGCAGCCAUCAUUUAAAGAAAGCGUAAUAGCUCACUGGUCGAGUCGGCCUGCGCGGAAGAUGUAACGGGGCUAAACCAUGCACCGAAGCUGCGGCAGCGACACUUAGGUGUUGUUGGGUAGGGGAGCGUUCUGUAAGCCGUUGAAGGUGACCUGUGAGGGUUGCUGGAGGUAUCAGAAGUGCGAAUGCUGACAUAAGUAACGAUAAUGCGGGUGAAAAACCCGCACGCCGGAAGACCAAGGGUUCCUGUCCAACGUUAAUCGGGGCAGGGUGAGUCGACCCCUAAGGCGAGGCUGAAAAGCGUAGUCGAUGGGAAACAGGUUAAUAUUCCUGUACUUGGUGUUACUGCGAAGGGGGGACGGAGAAGGCUAGGCUGGCCGGGCGACGGUUGUCCCGGUUUAAGCGUGUAGGGGGAGUGACCAGGUAAAUCCGGUUGCUUAUCAACCCUGAGGCGUGAUGACGAUGCACCACGGUGCAGAAGC
rnacentral:rRNA from 1 species